GCGGAGUCUUCGCGUCGGUUCGUACCGAUAUCCGCAGCAGGUCUCCGAGGUGAGCAGCCUCUAGCCGCAUAGAAUAAUGUAGGUAAGGGAAGUCGGCAAAACCGAUCCGUAACUUCGGGAUAAGGAUUGGCUCUGAGGAGCGUGGCGGAUCGGGUUCGGGUCGUCGUAGAAGCGUAGGCGGUGCUGGCGACACCCCGGCCGUC
rnacentral:ncRNA from 1 species